rnacentral:rRNA from 1 species
GACGAACGCUGGCGGCGUGCCUAAUACAUGCAAGUCGAGCGAGACUCUUCGGAGUCUAGCGGCGGACGGGUGAGUAACACGUGGGCAACCUGCCUGUAAGACUGGGAUAACACCGGGAAACCGGUGCUAAUACCGGAUAAUCCUUUUCCUCUCAUGAGGAAAAGCUGAAAGUCGGUUUCGGCUGACACUUACAGAUGGGCCCGCGGCGCAUUAGCUAGUUGGUGAGGUAACAGCUCACCAAGGCGACGAUGCGUAGCCGACCUGAGAGGGUGAUCGGCCACACUGGGACUGAGACACGGCCCAGACUCCUACGGGAGGCAGCAGUAGGGAAUCUUCCACAAUGGACGAAAGUCUGAUGGAGCAACGCCGCGUGAGCGAUGAAGGCCUUCGGGUCGUAAAGCUCUGUUGUUAGGGAAGAACAAGUACCGGAGUAACUGCCGUUACCUUGACGGUACCUAACCAGAAAGCCACGGCUAACUACGUGCCAGCAGCCGCAGUAACAC